rnacentral:sRNA from 1 species
ACUCAACGCCAAUUCUUUAAAAUGGGCGAAUCGCCGCUACUAUAGCAUGCUGCCCUGAGCAGAUCCUUGAACAGCGGGUUAGCUCAAAACUUGUCUUUUCGAGUUU